GUCGAGCUUCGAGGACAAAGGGAGAGGGCUAGUACCGGCGACCGUCCAUGAGAGAUUGAGAGAGAGAAGACGACGACUCACUGAGUGAUUGACUUCGGAUUCAAGAAGACACUAAGCAAAGUCAUUGAAUGCCGCCGUUUCGCCGCCGUCGUCUAUCAAGGAGGUUGAGAGAGAGAGAGGUCUGGGUUUUAAGUAACCAGAACACUGAACGGUAUUUGUUAUUUUGACGAGGAUGAAAGGCACCCCAUCCCCAAAUAGAAAAGAACCGAAUCGAAAUUAGCUGAGAGAGAACCGAGAUCG
rnacentral:lncRNA from 1 species